rnacentral:rRNA from 1 species
UAUUGCUCCGUCCUAAGCCUACGCCGCCUGUUUAUCAAAACAUCGCCUCUUGCCUAAAUAUAAGAGGUCCAGCCUGCCCAGUGACUCUGUUCAACGGCCGCGGUAUCCUAACCGUGCGAAGGUAGCGUAAUCACUUGUUCUUUAAAUGAGGACUCGUAUGAAUGGCACCACGAAGGUUGUACUGUCUCCUUUUUCCAAUCAGUGAAACUAAUCUCCCCAUGAAGAAGCGGGGAUAAAUAUAUAAGACGAGAAGACCCUAUGGAGCUUUAAACUAAUAACACAUGUUUUCCAAAAUUUUAUUUCCUCCGGAACACAAUAAUAAUUUAACCUGCUGAUUACUAGUUUUAGGUUGGGGUGACCGCGGAGCAUAAAAUAACCUCCACACUGAAUGGGAAUUUCCCUGAGCUACGAACCACAAUUCUAAGCACUAAUUAAUUAACACUCAUUGACCCAAUAUUUGAUCAACGAACCAAGUUACCCUAGGGAUAACAGCGCAAUCUGCUUCAAGAGCUCCCAUCGACAAGCAGGUUUACGACCUCGAUGUUGGAUCAGGAUAUCCCAGUGGUGCAGCCGCUACUAAGGGUUCGUUUGUUCAACGAUUAAAAUCCUACGUGAUCUGAGUUCAGACCGGGCGUAGGCUUAGAUAGCAAUAUGCAACUGAACGAAGCAAUACUGAU